rnacentral:rRNA from 1 species
UAUGCUUAGGGCUACACACGUGCUACAAUGGGUAGUACAGAGGGUUGCCAAGCCGUAAGGUGGAGCUAAUCCCUUAAAGCUACUCUCAGUUCGGAUUGUAGGCUGAAACUCGCCUACAUGAAGCUGGCGUUACUAGUAAUCGCAGAUCAGAAUGCUGCGGUGAAUGCGUUCCCGGGUCUUGUACACACCGCCCGUCACACCACGGGAGUUGGAG